AGUAACCACGCCCAGCAAGUCCCUGCGACAUUGCCCGCCUACGUGUCUCAGCGGAGGCACAUUUCUAAAAUGUACCAGGUCUCUCGCACCCCGACGCAGGUGCUUCAACAGCUCUCAGCGCUCGGUGGUUGGUGAACUGUGGUAAAGUGUACGCAGAAUAAGGUCUACGUGAUUAAGCACCGCCUGGGGGUUGGGGUCUGGAGGCCCAGCUGCACAGAUGAAAGGGAGGCUCAGAGACGUUUGGGACCAACCGAGAUCACACAGCUGAUUAGGAAUAAAAUUCAGGUCAAGCUGAAAGUCGGCCGCCACCGUCUAGCGUGGAUCCCAGGACACCGUGAAAGGACUUCAGAAGUUGACUUUCGCGUUUUUAAGGAGUGGGGUGCAGGGAAACAAUCCUCCGCCGGCCCUGCGGGCUGAUGCCGACCCUCACCUGCUCCCGCCACGUGGAGAGGUAGAGAGAAGCCCCGGGCCAAGCAGCAUUGAGCCCUGGUCCCUUCUAUUUAAAUAUGAAAUAUUUUGCAUACACUUUUCUAGAUGUACUUAAUAUACACAAUGUUUUAAUGUUUGUGAUUUUUUUGUUUUGCCAAAAAAAAUACAAUCAAUCAGAAAUUCA
rnacentral:antisense_RNA from 1 species